rnacentral:rRNA from 1 species
CGUAGGUAACCUGCCUAUUAGAGGGGGAUAACUAUUGGAAACGAUAGCUAAUACCGCAUAACAGUAUGUAACACAUGUUAGAUGCUUGAAAGAUGCAAUUGCACCGCUAGUAGAUGGACCUGCGUUGUAUUAGCUAGUAGGUAGGGUAAUGGCCUACCUAGGCGACGAUACAUAGCCGACCUGAGAGGGUGAUCGGCCACACUGGGACUGAGACACGGCCCAG